CUGUAUUGAGGACCAGUCCUUCAACAUAUGACUCUUUGGGAACAUUCCAAAUCUAGACUAUAGUAGAUGUUACAGAGAUCGGCAAAAUAGGGGUAGUCAAUAGUGCCAGAUUACCAAACGUACUGGGGAUUGAACAGAGCUACGUGCGUAGCCCUUUUACAGUUUUUAGACAACCACUUGCUAAGUCACUAAAUUGCCUGGCCUGGGCUCAAACAUGCACUCCUCCUGCCUCAGCCUCCCAGAGUGCUAGAAUUACAAAUGUGUGUCAUCGUGUCCAGCACCACAGGGAUUGAACUCAGACCCUUGCGCUUUUGAGGCAGGUAGCAGAACCACUGAGCCUAAAUCCCAGGCCCUUGGAGUUGUACUUCUAAAGGAAUUCACCACAUAAAAAAGAUUAGCGAUGGCUGCCUGAGGAUCUGCCCAAGAAUGACACUUCCAGACCGGGAAGUUCAUCACCAACUGACAAUUUCAAAG
ensembl:lncRNA